rnacentral:rRNA from 1 species
GACCCUGCGGAAGGAUCAUU